UACGAAGGGGGCUAGCGUUGUUCGGAUUUACUGGGCGUAAAGCGCACGUAGGCGGAUCUUUAAGUCAGAGGUGAAAUCCCAAGGCUCAGCCUUGGAACUGCCUUUGAUACUGGGGAUCUUGAGUCCGGGAGAGGUGAGUGGAACUGCGAGUGUAGAGGUGAAAUUCGUAGAUAUUCGCAAGAACACCAGUGGCGAAGGCGGCUCACUGGCCCGGUACUGACGCUGAGGAGCGAAAGCGUGGGGAGCGAACGAGG
rnacentral:rRNA from 1 species